rnacentral:rRNA from 1 species
GAUGAACGCUGGCGGCGUGCCUAAUACAUGCAAGUCGAGCGAACAGAUGAGGAGCUUGCUCCUCUGACGUUAGCGGCGGACGGGUGAGUAACACGUGGAUAACCUACCUAUAAGACUGGGAUAACUUCGGGAAACCGGAGCUAAUACCGGAUAAUAUAUUGAACCGCAUGGUUCAAUAGUGAAAGACGGUUUUGCUGUCACUUAUAGAUGGAUCCGCGCCGCAUUAGCUAGUUGGUAAGGUAACGGCUUACCAAGGCAACGAUGCGUAGCCGACCUGAGAGGGUGAUCGGCCACACUGGAACUGAGACACGGUCCAGACUCCUACGGGAGGCAGCAGUAGGGAAUCUUCCGCAAUGGGCGAAAGCCUGACGGAGCAACGCCGCGUGUGUGAUGAAGGUCUUCGGAUCGUAAAACUCUGUUAUUGGGGAAGAACAAAUGUGUAAGUAACUAUGCACGUCUUGACGGUACCUAAUCAGAAAGCCACGGCUAACUACGUG